AUUGAACGCUGGCGGCAGGCCUAACACAUGCAAGUCGAGCGAGCGGCGGACGGGGGAGUAAUGUAUGGGGACUGCCCGCUAGAGGGGGAGAACUACUGGAAACGGUAGCUAAUACCGCCUACGAUCGGAUAACCCCUAAGGGAUUAGCUAGUAGGUGAGGGAAUGGCUCACAUAGGCGACUAUCCCUAGCGGGUCUGAGAGGAUGAUCAGCCACACUGGGACUGAGACACGGCCCAGACUCCUACGGAGGCAGCAGUGGGGAAUUUUGCACAAUGGGCGCAAGCCUGAUGCAGCCAUGCCGCGUGUAUGAAGAAGGCCCUAGGGUUGUAAAGUACUUUCCGUCGGGAGGCGUUACCGACAGAAGAAGCACCGGCUAACUCCGUGCCAGCCGCCGCGGUAAUUC
rnacentral:rRNA from 1 species